rfam:Salmo salar isolate Sally breed double haploid chromosome ssa04, whole genome shotgun sequence.
UGCAUUCAAUACUGUAAGUCACUCUGGAUAAGAGCGUCUGCAAAAUGACUAAAA